rnacentral:rRNA from 1 species
GAUGAACGCUGGCGGCGUGCCUAAUACAUGCAAGUCGAGCGAACAGACGAGGAGCUUGCUCCUCUGACGUUAGCGGUGGACGGGUGAGUAACACGUGGAUAACCUACCUAUAAGACUGGGAUAACUUCGGGAAACCGGAGCUAAUACCGGAUAACAUGUUGAACCGCAUGGUUCAGCAGUGAAAGACGGUCUUGCUGUCACUUAUAGAUGGAUCCGCGCCGCAUUAGCUAGUUGGUAAGGUAACGGCUUACCAAGGCAACGAUGCGUAGCCGACCUGAGAGGGUGAUCGGCCACACUGGAACUGAGACGCGGUCCAGACUCCUACGGGAGGCAGCAGUAGGGAAUCUUCCGCAAAGAGCGAAAGCCUGACGGAGCAACGCCGCGUGAGUGAAGAAGGUCUUCGGAUCGUAAAACUCUGUUAUUAGGGAAGAACAAAUGUGUAAGUAACUAUGCACGUCUUGACGGUACCUAAUCAGAAAGCCACGGCUAACUACGUGCCAGCCGCCGCGGUAA